GGUACCUGCGGAGGGAUCAUUACCGAGUUAUUCAACUCAUCAACCCUGUGAACAUACCUAAACGUUGCUUCGGCGGGAACAGACGGCCCCGUGAAACGGGCCGCCCCCGCCAGAGGACCCCUAACUCUGUUUCUAUAAUGUUUCUUCUGAGUAAAACAAGCAAAUAAAUUAAAACUUUCAACAACGGAUCUCUUGGCUCUGGCAUCGAUGAAGAACGCAGCGAAAUGCGAUAAGUAAUGUGAAUUGCAGAAUUCAGUGAAUCAUCGAAUCUUUGAACGCACAUUGCGCCCGCCAGUAUUCUGGCGGGCAUGCCUGUUCGAGCGUCAUUACAACCCUCAGGCCCCCGGGCCUGGCGUUGGGGAUCGGCGGAGCCCCCCGUGGGCACACGCCGUCCCCCAAAUACAGUGGCGGUCCCGCCGCAGCUUCCAUCGCGUAGUAGCUAACACCUCGCGACUGGAGAGCGGCGCGGCCACGCCGUAAAACACCCAACUCUUCUGAAGUUGACCUCGAAUCAGUAGGAAUCCCCGUUCC
rnacentral:rRNA from 1 species